rnacentral:rRNA from 1 species
CACGUAGGGCGCAAGCGUUGUCCGGAAUUAUUGGGCGUAAAGAGCUCGUAGGCGGACUGUCACGUCUGCUGUGAAAAGCUAGGGCUUAACCCUGGCCUUGCAGUGGAUACGGGCAGACUAGAGGUAGGUAGGGGAGAAUGGAAUUCCCGGUGUAGCGGUGAAAUGCGCAGAUAUCGGGAGGAACACCGGUGGCGAAGGCAGGUCUCUGGGCUGUAACUGACGCUGAGGAGCGAAAGCAUGGGGAGCGAACAGG